rnacentral:rRNA from 1 species
UACGUAGGGUGCAAGCGUUAAUCGGAAUUACUGGGCGUAAAGCGUGCGCAGGCGGCUUUGCAAGACAGAUGUGAAAUCCCCGGGCUUAACCUGGGAACUGCAUUUGUGACUGCAUGGCUUGAGUGCGGCAGAGGGGGAUGGAAUUCCGCGUGUAGCAGUGAAAUGCGUAGAUAUCGUUUGGAACGCCAAUGGUGAAAACAGACAGCUGGGAGUGUGCUGACGCUGAGACACGAAAGCCAGGGGAGCGAACGGG